GACGAACGCUGGCGGCGUGCUUAACACAUGCAAGUCGAACGGACAGGCCCUGCUUUUGUGGGGUGCUCGUGUGGCGAACGGGUGAGUAACACGUGAGUAACCUGCCCUUGACUUUGUGAUAACUUCAGGAAACUGGGGCUAAUAUCGCAUAGGAUCUCUUGCUGCAUGGUGGGGGUUGGAAAGUUUCGGCGGUUGGGGAUGGACUCGCGGCUUAUCCGCUUGUUGGUGAGGUAGUGGUUUACCAAGGCUUUGACGGGUAGCCGGCCUGGGAGGGUGACCGGGCUCAAUGGGACUGAGAUACGGCCCAGAAGCCUACGGGAGGCAGCAGUCGGGAACAUUGCACAAUGGGCCGAAGCCUGAUGCAGCAACGCCGCGUGCGUGAUGACGGCCUUCGGGUUGUAAACCGCUGUCGCCUGAGACGAAGCGUGAGUGACGGUAAUGGGUAAAGAAGCACCGGCUAACUACGUG
rnacentral:rRNA from 1 species